GGUGCCUUAACAAAGCGGUUAUGUGGUGGUCUGCAAAACCAUAUAGAGCGGUUCGACUCCGCUAGGCACCU
rnacentral:tRNA from 1 species